rnacentral:rRNA from 1 species
GUCCACGCAGUAAACGAUGGAUGCUAGCCGUCCGGCCCGAAUGUGGGCUGGGGGGCGCAGCGAAAGCGUUAAGCAUCCCACCUGGGGAGUACGCCGGCAACGGUGAAACUCAAAGGAAUUGACGGGGGCCCGCACAAGCGGAGGAACAUGUGGUUUAAUUCGAUGAUACGCGAGGAACCUUACCCGGGCUCAAACGCGGACGGAAUAUUUCUGAAAGGAGGUAGCCCUACGGGGCCGUCCGCGAGGUGCUGCAUGGUUGUCGU